CCCUCUUGUGUUCGCCUUUCACUAGUUUGCGUUUUCUGCCCACCCCCAACUCGGAUGCAAAAAUUUCCCCUUUCAUCCUGGCCCGGUUCAUCUUUCCAGGAGGCUGGUAGGCCUAAGCUUCCAAUUCUGGCGAGGCCGUCUGUGGCGUAACUGGGCUUCCAAGCAUCGCCUUAGACCAUGUGGGGUUUGCGUGUCCCGGUCUCCUUGCGCGGCUCCGCGCUGCUGUCACCUGCUGGCCCGGGAGAAGACUCAACCACGCUUCCGUUUUCGUGGGUGUGCCCACUAGCAGUCGCUGCCAAUCUGAUGCGUACGGAGCAGCGGGCCGGUUCCAUCUUGUGUCUUCUAAUUUAAGCAAAAGAACAACAUGGCUGACAGCAUAAACAAACAGUCCUUCGGUGGUGCCCUUAUUGCCUUGAUUCCUGGAGCCUCCUCUGAAAUAUCCAAACUGACGGGUGCUCGAUUCCAUAGUGGGAAAUGGCAAUAUUUGCAAAUAACCGAUGCACAUCCUUCCUCCGUAUACUUCAGGUAAUCCCCAGUUUGAAAUGCUGUGAAAAUGCUGUUGGUGGAACGUGAAUUAACAGGCUGGACACAGCCAGGUGUGGCAGCACAGGGCGGUAACCUCGGCACUCAGGAUGCUGAGCAGUGAAGAUCAAGGGUUUCAGACCAGCCUGGGUUUUGCAGAGAUCCUGUCUCUGCAAGCAAGACAAAGCAAAUAAGAAACGGCAGGGUCACAGGGUCGACUUGCAGUGAGAGCUGAACUUGGCACACAAGGAGACAGUUAUAGGCAAACUCGGAUUCUUCCCCAAAUAAAUAGGACUGGAGGGACAGGCUCCUCCUACUCCAUGUCCUCCUCCUCCUCCUUGGAGCUCACUGUUUUGUAUUUUUGCGACGUAAACCGUGGAUGCAUUUGGAUAAGCUUUCUCUUCAGGGUAGAAACGGACUAAAUAGCGGUUGAUGCCUGACCCGACAUGGGUGCUAGGAAAACCGGUUCAUUCCGGACCCUCCAGUUCGUCACUGCGAUGGCUACCCUGCAAAGCACCUCAGCUCUGGGCCUCUGCUACAUGGCCACACGCCCUGCUCUAGCUCCCUGAUGGGGAGACAUCCCGAAUGGGGGAGCCUCAGGAGCAGGCGAAGAAAUGACCUUGUGUAUGCUGGGGUCCUGUUGAUGGAGACCCAGCCAGCCAACCUUUCCUCCGGAUCUUUCCAUGACAACGGAGGGGCAGACCCUUCGGCUCCCCACGGAAGCCUUCAGCAAGGCUCCUGAAGACCUGCUUGUGGGUGCAGACAAAAUGGUACCCACCUGUGAUCUGUGCCUCGGUAUCCAGAAUGGUUUUUCUUUCUUGCUGUUUUCUUUCUUGGGUUUUUGUUUUUUCCUUUCAUUGAUUUAAUUUUUUGUUCCUUCCCCUCUUUCUUCCUUUCUUCCUUCCUUUCUUUCUCUCUUUCUUUCUUCCUUUCUUUCUAACAUUUUCUCUUAGAGCCUGUUUUCAAAACCAGCUGAAUUGAGCUCAGGAAAAAAAAAAGGUAAAAGAAAGCAAAGCUUCUGGAAGUCAAGAAGGGAGAAAGCAAAUCUCAUGACUAUAGCUCUGACCUCAGCUGACUCAAAUAAGGUCUUCAUUACCGAACAAUUAGAGCCACCUACACAGGACAAAGUGUAUUUCCAGUCAACAGGUAGUAAUAGCCAAACCCCUGCCACAGCCAAGAAACAUUAGAGUGGAUUAUCCAUGAAGAGAGGAUUAGAAAAAGAGAGACCCAGAAUCCAGCAAAGGAGGCCCCAGCGGGCCAGCUGGCUAAUGUUUGGGAUAAUAACUCCAAACGUAUUAAAAUAAAUUGUAAGAAAGAAAAGGCUGAAGGCAAGAAAAGCAAGCUUCACACGAUACUGUAUAUUGUGGAUAAAAUCAUGUACAUUUGCAAUAAUCACUUCCCCGGAGGCAGGCAGUAAAGGCACCACCAGCAGAGACUGGUAGAAUUUAAAGCCACAAGCACACCGUGUGCUAGUCUGCUCUAGGGGCUGGGGGUGGGGGUGGCUCAUAAUAGAAGCCUGCCUCAUGGAAACUUCCCCUGGUCCCAUUCUUUUAUGACCUGAAAAUAGAUCUACAGACAAUAGGAAGGAGACAGGAGUAGAGCGUCUUCCACCAUCUCAGACUUGGCCUAGCUAAGAGAAGAGGCACCCAGGUCGCUAAUGGAGUCAGAGAAAAGCACGAUUUCUGGUUUCUGUGUUAUCGAGUUCAUGGGGUUCUCCAGCACGAGGCAGCAUCCCUUCUCCCCUCCACCCCCCAGCCUUCCUCCAACAGAGAAGGACUAGAACUCAGAAUGUAGCAACAUUCUCAUUUUCAGGAAGUCUACAAGCAUUAUUUACGACUAAAGUGCUGCCGGCCAGAGCCUGGGGCUAGCAUGCUCCUCCAAAGACUGUCGGAAGGUUGAUUCUCAGCCUGGUACUGCUGGGAGGCGGCGGCAGGGGAAGCUUUGAAGUCGGACCCUAUGGGAAUUCUUCUGGUCACUGGGACCCUUGAAGGUGACAAUGGGACCCAAUCUUUCUGCUUCCCUUUGGCUUGCUGUCCGUGAUCUGGAUUCCCCUGCCUCAGGUUCCUGGCAAACCGCACCAGAGCAAAAGGACCAAACCAAUCAGGAGUGGGAACCUCCAACUAUGAGCAACGCAAACCUCUUCUCUUCCUAAACUGUCCUGUGUAAAUGUUACAGAAAGAAAAAGCUGACUAAUGCACACCCUGCAAUUCUUCCCAUUCUUAGCAUGGGUCAGUGAUGAUACAUAAAUAAUAGCCUGUGCUUGGCACACAUCUCUGGACCAGUGAGGACGGAGGCUUCUGUCCCGCCUGGUCCCACAACCGCUCUGCCCCAAAUAAACACACAAAGACUUAUAUUAAGUAUUAAAUGCUUGGCCGAUGGCUCAGGCUUCUCAUUG